GUGAAUCUUCAAAGUCGGCUCGUCGGAUUGUGCUGGUGGAGACACAUGUGCACAUCUGCGAGUCGCAAAUCCACACACCUGUGCAUCUAUGACUCUGAGUGCCGCUUUGCAUGGCCUUUUGACCGAGGCCUGGCGCUCGAGUACUUUCACACACUCUAUGAAUGUAACGGAAUGUCUUGUUGUGCGUAACGUACAAAAAAGAAA
rnacentral:misc_RNA from 1 species